rnacentral:rRNA from 1 species
AGUGAACGCUGGCGGUAGGCCUAACACAUGCAAGUCGAACGGCAGCACAGUAAGAGCUCGCUCUUACGGGUGGCGAGUGGCGGACGGGUGAGGAAUACAUCGGAAUCUACUUUUUCGUGGGGGAUAACGUAGGGAAACUUACGCUAAUACCGCAUACGACCUACGGGUGAAAGCAGGGGAUCUUCGGACCUUGCGCGACUGAAUGAGCCGAUGUCGCAUUAGCUAGUUGGCGGGGUAAAGGCCCACCAAGGCGACGAUCCGUAGCUGGUCUGAGAGGAUGAUCAGCCACACUGGAACUGAGACACGGUCCAGACUCCUACGGGAGGCAGCAGUGGGGAAUAUUGGACAAUGGGCGCAAGCCUGAUCCAGCCAUACCGCGUGGGUGAAGAAGGCCUUCGGGUUGUAAAGCCCUUUUGUUGGGGAAGAAAAGCAGCAGAUUAAUACCCCGCUGUUCUGACGGUACCCAAAGAAUAAGCACCGGCUAACUUCGUG